rnacentral:tRNA from 1 species
GCCGCCGUAGCUCAGCGGAAGAGCGUCCGGCUUCUAACCGGACGGCCGGAGGUUCGACUCCUCCCGGCGGUUCCA